UAACCACCGACGGUAGGUAUAGACAAAUACUGUUGAUAGACGGUAUAUAGGAGCACUAUAUUGUAUGUUAACCACCGACGGUAGGUAUAGACAUAUACUGUUGAUAGAUGGUAUAUAGGAGCACUAUAUUGUAUGUUAACUACCGACAGUAGGUAUAGACAAAUACUGUUGAUAGACAUCAACGGUAUAUAGGAGCACUAUAUUGU
rnacentral:lncRNA from 1 species